UACAGAGGUCUCAAGCGUUGUUCGGAUUCAUUGGGCGUAAAGGGUGCGUAGGUGGCGCCGUAAGUCAGGUGUGAAAUUUCGGAGCUUAACUCCGAAACUGCAUUUGAUACUGCGGUGCUUGAGGACUGGAGAGGAGACUGGAAUUCACGGUGUAGCAGUGAAAUGCGUAGAUAUCGUGAGGAAGACCAGUGGCGAAGGCGGGUCUCGUGGACAGUUUCCUGACACUGAGGCACGAAGGCCAGGGGGAGCAAACGGG
rnacentral:rRNA from 1 species